AGCGAACGCUGGCGGCAGGCCUAACACAUGCAAGUCGAGCGCCGUAGCAAUACGGAGCGGCAGACGGGAGAGUAACACGUGGGAACGUACCCUCCAGUACGGAACAACCAAGGGAAACUUUGGCUAAUACCGUAUACGUCCGUAAGGAGAAAGAUUUAUCGCUGAAGGAUCGGCCGGCGUCUGAUUAGCUAGUCGGUGAGGUAAUGGCUCACCAAGGCGACGAUCAGUAGCUGGUCUGAGAGGAUGAUCAGCCUCAUUGGGACUGAGACACGGCCCAGACUCCUACGGGAGGCAGCAGUGGGGAAUAUUGGACAAUGGGCGCAAGCCUGAUCCAGCCAUGCCGCGUGGGUGAUGAAGGCCCUAGGGUUGUAAAGCCCUUUCGGCGGGGAAGAUAAUGACGGUACCUGCAGAAGAAGCCCCGGCUAACUUCGUGCCAGCCGCCGCAGUAAUAC
rnacentral:rRNA from 1 species